CCCGGAUGACAAUUUCAGCACGGAAAAUCGGGUUGACAUUUGAUGCAAGUCGCUUUCCGUUCCGCUUUUCAGACGAAAGCGAUCUCACUAUGAGCAGCGUGCUGUGAGAAAAAAGGAAGGGGAAAAUCAGUGCAAUCAUCGUCAUGGUAGUCAUGGCGAAAAAAAGUUCAUCUGUUGACUUGUUGUACUGCCGUGGUUGGAUUUGAUCCGCAGUACAUCAAGUCAGAACAGCUCAAUUAAACUUGUAAACCAUUGAAGGCUUCGAAAUUUAGGUCGUUUAAAAGGCACUAGUAGACGCAUCGAACCUUGAAGCAGAAAUAGAUCCACGCACAAGUGAAAAUAUUGACAAUGAUAUCGUGUUGCCUUUGAUGAUUGCAUGGUGUUCAAGAAACAACAAGGAAUGAUGAAGAGCAAACGAUGGAGAGUGCAAGUAAUGAAUUUUGUUUUCGUGAAUUGUGGAAACUAAAUUUGAUUCUUUUUGAAUGGAAGCUGCUGAUUUAGGAUCUAAGCUAGACAAAGAAAAAGGAUUUGAAGAAAAGAAUUGAAAACAGAAUGUAUAAAUCCUCCAAGUGCAAAUUAUGACUAAAUCAAUUUCAAUAUGACUAGCAGUGGAAAAGCAGUGUACGCUCUCUAAGCAUGGAUGAAUUUGAAAAUAACGGAGGAUGUAAGAACACUGCAAAACAGCACAUGUUAUGUACAUGUGGCCAGCCGGCUCUGUCAAUCAAUUUACACUACAAACCAUUAAAAGCACGUGAUUUUAUUCAGCUUUUUUAGGGUUCUUUGCCACGUGUAAUUUUCAAGCUUAUAAGGCAGGCUUUUAGGCUUUAGGCCUUUCUGUGAUUCAUAGGAAUAUUUUAGAAUUGUGCAUGCAGGUCAAAACUACAAAAUACAUCACGAAUCAAUACAAUUAUAUUAUUUUUUAAAGUAAUUGA